GUGCUCUCCCGAUCUAAAGUGAAGCUGGGGCCCAGCGUCAGAAGUCUAGUUUUAUAGGCAACUGUCCUGUGAUGUCAGUGGUGCAGCAUGUUUGCCACUUUAUUAUAUAGCUAAGCAGAACAUGUGCUUAAUCUUUGGAUGCUGAAGGAGAUGGAUGGGCUUUGGAGUGAAUAUGGCAGUUUAAAAAAAAAAUACCUUCAUUUUUUGGGCCUGCAUAUUUAGGUGUUUUGGAACACAGUUUUUUCCUCCUUGAGUUUCAAAUAUAAGACUGCUAUAGUCACAUGACAAUAUUGAGAGGUGGAAUCUUGUUUGUUACUGUCAUUCCCAUUCCUUUUCGUUUAGAAUCAGAAUAAAGUUGUAUUUCAAAUAU